rnacentral:rRNA from 1 species
UUAAAACUCAAAGGAAUUGACGGGGACCCGCACAAGCGGUGGAUGAUGUGGAUUAAUUCGAUGCAACGCGAAAAACCUUACCUACCCUUGACAUGGCAGGAAUCCCGAAGAGAUUUGGGAGUGCUCGCAAGAGAACCUGCACACAGGUGCUGCAUGGCUGUCGUCAGCUCGUGUCGUGAGAUGUUGGGUUAAGUCCCGCAACGAGCGCAACCCUUGUCAUUAGUUGCUACGAAAGGGCACUCUAAUGAGACUGCCGGUGACAAACCGGAGGAAGGUGGGGAUGACGUCAAGUCCUCAUGGCCCUUAUGGGUAGGGCUUCACACGUCAUACAAUGGUACAUACAGAGGGCCGCCAACCCGCGAGGGGGAGCUAAUCCCAGAAAGUGUAUCGUAGUCCGGAUUGUAGUCUGCAACUCGACUACAUGAAGUUGGAAUCGCUAGUAAUCGCGGAUCAGCAUGUCGCGGUGAAUACGUUCCCGGGUCUUGUACACACCGCCCGUCACACCAUGGGAGCGGGUUCUGCCAGAAGUAGGUAGCUUAACCGCAAGGAGGGCGCUUACCACGGCAGGGUUCGUGACUGGGGUGAAGUCGUAACAAGGUAACC